rnacentral:rRNA from 1 species
AAAUUGAAGAGUUUGAUCAUGGCUCAGAUUGAACGCUGGCGGCAGGCCUAACACAUGCAAGUCGAGCGGUAGCACAGAGAGCUUGCUCUCGGGUGACGAGCGGCGGACGGGUGAGUAAUGUCUGGGAAACUGUCUGAUGGAGGGGGAUAACUACUGGAAACGGUAGCUAAUACCGCAUAAUGUCGCAAGACCAAAGUGGGGGACCUUCGGGCCUCAUGCCAUCAGAUGUGCCCAGAUGGGAUUAGCUAGUAGGUGGGGUAACGGCUCACCUAGGCGACGAUCCCUAGCUGGUCUGAGAGGAUGACCAGCCACACUGGAACUGAGACACGGUCCAGACUCCUACGGGAGGCAGCAGUGGGGAAUAUUGCACAAUGGGCGCAAGCCUGAUGCAGCCAUGCCGCGUGUGUGAAGAAGGCCUUCGGGUUGUAAAGCACUUUCAGCGGGGAGGAAGGCGGUGAGGUUAAUAACCUCAUCGAUUGACGUUACCCGCAGAAGAAGCACCGGCUAACUCCGUGCCAGCAGCCGCGGUAAUACGGAGGGUGCAAGCGUUAAUCGGAAUUACUGGGCGUAAAGCGCACGCAGGCGGUCUGUCAAGUCGGAUGUGAAAUCCCCGGGCUCAACCUGGGAACUGCAUUCGAAACUGGCAGGCUAGAGUCUUGUAGAGGGGGGUAGAAUUCCAGGUGUAGCGGUGAAAUGCGUAGAGAUCUGGAGGAAUACCGGUGGCGAAGGCGGCCCCCUGGACAAAGACUGACGCUCAGGUGCGAAAGCGUGGGGAGCAAACAGGAUUAGAUACCCUGGUAGUCCACGCCGUAAACGAUGUCGAUUUGGAGGUUGUGCCCUUGAGGCGUGGCUUCCGGAGCUAACGCGUUAAAUCGACCGCCUGGGGAGUACGGCCGCAAGGUUAAAACUCAAAUGAAUUGACGGGGGCCCGCACAAGCGGUGGAGCAUGUGGUUUAAUUCGAUGCAACGCGAAGAACCUUACCUGGUCUUGACAUCCACAGAACUUUCCAGAGAUGGAUUGGUGCCUUCGGGAACUGUGAGACAGGUGCUGCAUGGCUGUCGUCAGCUCGUGUUGUGAAAUGUUGGGUUAAGUCCCGCAACGAGCGCAACCCUUAUCCUUUGUUGCCAGCGGUCCGGCCGGGAACUCAAAGGAGACUGCCAGUGAUAAACUGGAGGAAGGUGGGGAUGACGUCAAGUCAUCAUGGCCCUUACGACCAGGGCUACACACGUGCUACAAUGGCAUAUACAAAGAGAAGCGACCUCGCGAGAGCAAGCGGACCUCAUAAAGUAUGUCGUAGUCCGGAUUGGAGUCUGCAACUCGACUCCAUGAAGUCGGAAUCGCUAGUAAUCGUAGAUCAGAAUGCUACGGUGAAUACGUUCCCGGGCCUUGUACACACCGCCCGUCACACCAUGGGAGUGGGUUGCAAAAGAAGUAGGUAGCUUAACCUUCGGGAGGGCGCUUACCACUUUGUGAUUCAUGACUGGGGUGAAGUCGUAACAAGGUAACCGUAGGGGAACCUGCGGUUGGAUCACCUCCUUACCUUAAAGAA